GGCUCAAUGGUCUAGUCGUAUGAUUCACGCUUCGGGUAGCCCCCUCCAAUUCAUUGGAACUGUGUGAGGUCCCGGGUUCAAAUCCCGGUUGAGCCC